rnacentral:rRNA from 1 species
AGUUCAAACCGGCGUGAGCCAGGUUGGAUUCUAUCUUUAAUUAAAUAAAAUAUUUUAGUACGAAAGGACCAAAUAUUUGUUAUAAUAAUUUAUUUAAGAAUAAUA